rnacentral:rRNA from 1 species
AGGUAGUAUACCCCUUUUAAAAAAACCAAAUACCCUGGCGGCAUUUCUCCUACCUAGAGGAACCUGCCAAAUAAUCGACACUCCGCGUUAGUUUUCACUUAUAUUAAAAUUUUGUAUACCGCCAUUUUAAGAAUUAAUUCAAAAAUAUUUUUCAAAAAAAGAUUCUAACAAACUAGGUCAAGGUGCAGCCUAUAUAUUUAAGAUUCAGGUGUGUUACUUUGAGAACAACUUUAGAAUUAAUCUUACAAAAAAGAUUAUGAAAAAGGAUUUAGUAGUAAUAAAUAGACAUUAACUUUUUAUGAAGAAGGAUAGUAAUGUGC